rnacentral:rRNA from 1 species
GUGGGGAAUUUUGGACAAUGGGCGAAAGCCUGAUCCAGCCAUGCCGCGUGCAGGAUGAAGGCCUUCGGGUUGUAAACUGCUUUUGUACGGAACGAAAAGACUCCUUCUAAUAAAGGGGGUCCAUGACGGUACCGUAAGAAUAAGCACCGGCUAACUACGUGCCAGCAGCCGCGGUAAUACGUAGGGUGCAAGCGUUAAUCGGAAUUACUGGGCGUAAAGCGUGCGCAGGCGGUUAUAUAAGACAGAUGUGAAAUCCCCGGGCUCAACCUGGGAACUGCAUUUGUGACUGUAUAGCUAGAGUACGGUAGAGGGGGGUGGAAUUCCGCGUGUAGCAGUGAAAUGCGUAGAUAUGCGGAGGAACACCGAUGGCGAAGGCAAUCCCCUGGACCUGUACUGACGCUCAUGCACGAAAGCGUGGGGAGCAAACAGGAUUAGAAACCCCUGUAGUCC